CUGAGGCGCCUUGCCUCGUGCGGGUUCCCUCACCACCCUCGAGUCUGCUUUCCUCCUGUCCCCUCUGCCUCCUGGGGUCCCUGCACUCCUCACCGGUGUGGCUACCAACCCCGCCAGGGUUCCAGCCCCAGGCCUGGAGUCGGCAGUUCCUCCUCCUGGCUCUCCUGGAGCUGGUUUUCAUCCAGCCCUCAUUCUUGGGAUGUGGAAGUGCCCUCUGCCUGUGUUCUGCCCACUACCACCACCUCCACCACCCGCCAUCGCCCUGCUGAGUAAGCAAUGUGACGCGGAGCAGCUCCUUGAUUCCUAGUGCCACAUGCACAACAGGACUCCAGCCAGUACGGGAAGCAGGUUGCCCAGCAGCAGCCAGAGGGUGACCACCAGGCUGGAGGAGCGGGAGCAGAGAUCUAGGGUGGAAAACAGCAGAGUGACCAAUGGCAGAGGCUUCCAUGACAAAAUCACCGCAGCGGCAAUCUGACAGGCGAGGAGUAUGGAUGGGGACUAAGAGUGACUUCAGAGCCCUGAGUUCAAUCCCAGUACCACAAAAAAAAAAAAGUGACUGAGACCCUGGUAUGUAAAGUUUUGUGUAUUAUGGAAACAAGAUAUACAGAAGAAGAAAA